rnacentral:rRNA from 1 species
ACUCCUACGGGAGGCAGCAGUGGGGAAUAUUGGACAAUGGGCGCAAGCCUGAUCCAGCCAUGCCGCGUGUGUGAAGAAGGCCUUCGGGUUGUAAAGCACUUUUGUUGGGGAAGAAAAGAUAUCGGUUAAUACCCGGUGUUUCUGACGGUACCCAAAGAAUAAGCACCGGCUAACUUCGUGCCAGCAGCCGCGGUAAUACGAAGGGUGCAAGCGUUACUCGGAAUUACUGGGCGUAAAGCGUGCGUAGGUGGUGAGUUAAGUCUGUCGUGAAAGCCCCGGGCUCAACCUGGGAAUGGCGAUGGAUACUGGCUCGCUAGAGUGCGGUAGAGGAGAGUGGAAUUCCCGGUGUAGCAGUGAAAUGCGUAGAGAUCGGGAGGAACAUCAGUUGCGAAGGCGGCUCUCUGGACCAGCACUGACACUGAGGCACGAAAGCGUGGGGAGCAAACAGGAUUAGAUACCCUGUAGUCCACGCCCUAAACGAUGCGAACU